rnacentral:rRNA from 1 species
GUGGGGAAUUUUGGACAAUGGGCGCAAGCCUGAUCCAGCCAUUCCGCGUGCAGGAUGAAGGCCUUCGGGUUGUAAACUGCUUUUGUACGGAACGAAAAGGUUCUCUCUAAUACAGGGGGCUGAUGACGGUACCGUAAGAAUAAGCACCGGCUAACUACGUGCCAGCAGCCGCGGUAAUACGUAGGGUGCAAGCGUUAAUCGGAAUUACUGGGCGUAAAGCGUGCGCAGGCGGUGAUGUAAGACAGAUGUGAAAUUCCCGGGCUCAACCUGGGAACUGCAUUCGUGACUGCAUUGCUGGAGUGCGGCAGAGGGGGAUGGAAUUCCGCGUGUAGCAGUGAAAUGCGUAGAUAUGCGGAGGAACACCGAUGGCGAAGGCAAUCCCCUGGGCCUGCACUGACGCUCAUGCACGAAAGCGUGGGGAGCAAACAGGAUUAGAUACCCGAGUAGUCC